UAACUCGAAUGAUCCUCUCCUCCCGAUGUUUAAUUUAAGUGGGGGGUUUUUCCUCCUUCGUGGGGAAACCUCCCUAAAAAAAGGGGUGGUUGGCAAGCAUGCCUCCCUCCCGGCCUCCCGCCCCCCGGGCGGGUCGGCGCCCGCCGGAGGAUAACCAAACUCUGAUUUAACGACGUUUCUUCUGAGUGGUACAAGCAAAUAAUCAAAACUUUUAACAACGGAUCUCUUGGUUCUGGCAUCGAUGAAGAACGCAGCGAAAUGCGAUAAGUAAUGUGAAUUGCAGAAUUCAGUGAAUCAUCGAAUCUUUGAACGCACAUUGCGCCCGCCAGCAUUCUGGCGGGCAUGCCUGUUCGAGCGUCAUUUCAACCCUCAAGCUCUGCUUGGUGUUGGGGCCCUACAGCUGAUGUAGGCCCUCAAAGGUAGUGGCGGACCCUCCCGGAGCCUCCUUUGCGUAGUAACUUUACGUCUCGCACUGGGAUCCGGAGGGACUCUUGCCGUAAAACCCCCAAUUUUCCAAAGGUUGACCUCGGAUCAGGUCAGGAAUACCGCGCUGAACUAUUUUUCUCAUUUCA
rnacentral:rRNA from 1 species